rnacentral:tRNA from 1 species
GCGGGUGUAGCUCAAUGGUAGAGCCCCAGCCUUCCAAGCUGGCCAUGCCGGUUCGAUCCCGGUCACCCGCUCCC